CUGGGCAAUCACAAACUGAUCAUAGAAGGCAGAGCUGUCCACGUUCAGCUCCAAGUCGAUGUCCUGGAGCUCUUUGCAGCUAAAGAAGCAAGGGGUGGAAGGUAACUGCAGGGCCACCGAGCACAAGGAGCAGCCGAGCAUUACCCCUAGAUGGCAAGGGGGCUGCCCCCAAAGUGGGGCAAAUGGAGGGCCUCAAUGCCUCCUCUGUGGAACAGGGAACCUGAAGACCCCGCCCCAACCUAGCUGUGACAGCAGGGCCACCAGGGCCAGUCUCGGCUCUCCUGACUCAACAGCCCAGCGGCUCUACUCGCAUGCCACGGGGGCAUCUGCAGGGGCAGCCUGCCCACCCUUCACCGGCUCUCCAGCGGGGGCCAGCUGGGUGAACCACAAGCCCUAUGUGACUUACACAAACUGUGCACCAGCGGGCAGGCUGGGCCCGGCCUAGCCUCCAGGCUGGAGUGGAGGAGGCCCAGGAGCCAGGGGCCUGCAGCACUGUGAGAGGCUGGGACACACGGAUGGAAGACAGAAGGCAGCCCAGAGGCCCCGCACACCCGGGGGGGUGCUGGGGCGGGUGUGAGGGCUGGAAAUGGUGUUGGUGAGGGUGAAGAAACUUUGGGCAUCUUGCUGGAGAAGCCCAAGGCCAUGCCCAGGAGCCGGCCUACACUCAGAGGGCUCUCAGAGGGUGACAAGCAGGAGGCCACGGGGCCCAGCUGGAGGAGUUCAGCUUAGCCUGGGUAAGAUCCGCCCGCCACAGAGGGGCUGCCCACCCAAGGUGCUCCAGCUCUCCUCUGCUCUGGGCCUGGACAGCCACAGAGGUGCCCAGGACCCCAGCGGGUGAGCAGCGUCACACCACAUGGUGAAGCCCACGCUCACGACUGUGCCGGCGAUGAAGAUGAGGAAGACCGCGAGGGCACCGACCAGAAGGCUCAGCGACGCGUAGAGGAAGGACCUGCAACCAAGGACAGGAAAGGGGCAGUGAGGGAGGGCCGCCGCCCAGGGUCCCCACAGCAUCCCCAGCAGGCCCCACGUGCUGGCCCAGGCUGCCCGCCCCAGCCAGAUCGGGAACCACCGUCGGCGCCGUCUUGAGAGGAGGCAGGCCCGAGAUCUGAACCCGAGCAUCAGAAGCAGCGACGUGCUGAGAAGGAAGAUGCCCUGUCAGGGCUGCUCGCCCAUGUGGCCAUCGGCCAAGGCCACUUACCCACAUGGUCGGCCAGGCCCAGCUCACACUGAGGCCGUGGCAGAAAGGAGAGACGAGGCUGUCCUCUCGGGGGAUCCCCCUCCGGCGGCCCGCGGCCCGGGCCCACCUCUGCUGAUGCGCACGUCAGAGCCAUCCCGUCAGCACAUCAGCUCCGAGGGGAACAAUCGGCCACCACAAGGUCUCAGCGGGGACCUCGGCCGAGAAGACAUCACAGGCUCGAUGGCGGUGGCCCAGGCCAGGCGGAGGCGGACGCCCUGUCCUUUCAGCCUCGCCUCCACCAGGCUGGUCCUUCCCACGCAUCCACCUCCCACCCCGCCCUGUGCUGGGCCCUGGGGACAGAGAAAUAAAAACUCAUGCACCCCAGCCGGUGGGCAGACAGCAAGCCAAGGGCACUGUACCCAACUCCGAGCACUUGGCAGCUGGACCAGCUGCAUCUCUGGGGAAAGGUCCCCUGGGGGCUGUCCUCCUGGUGUGACCCCAGGGCUGGGGACCUCAACACCCCCCCCAAACACAGCCCCAAAGGAGGGGCAAGGCCACAGCAAUGCUCCAAGAAAUCACCAAAAAGAAGGGACAGCGGGGCGGCCUGCACGUCUACACGCAUGCUCACGCCUGCACCAGGGUGUCUGUGCACCAGCGCACACCCACACCGCAACCCACACUCCUAGCCAGCCUGGCUGCUGAAGCUCCCCGGAGCUCAUGGCCACCCGUGGCUCCUUCCCAUCCCAGGGCUGAGGAAGCCACCCUCUGCUUGGCUCUCAGGGCUCUGCCUGUGGGAUGGGCUCUGUGCCCCCAAAAUCAGGCCACCCAUGGGCUGUCAUUUUCCCCGUGCUCUUCAGACCACCUCCCCUGCCCUGCCCAGGAGGCUGACCAGAUGAGACCCCAGCAGUGACCCCGCUCCUGGCUGAGUUCCGACAACGGGGACUCUCAGGGCAGGGGCCGGGGACAGGGGUGGCCACUCUGGGAUCCCUCCCAGAGGCUGUCCCAGGCUGGCCUUGUCCCUCUGCCAAAGGUCACUGCCCUCCCCAGGCAGCCUCUUCCACGUAAAUGUCCCCCUCCGGUCCCUCCCGCCAGGGCUGGUGACCGGCCAUCACAGGGCUGCACACCCGGCCCACGCCAGAGUCUCUGCCAGCCACCUUCUUCAUGCCUCCGGGGCUGAGCCACCUGUUUCCACAUGGGCCCCUGAUAGACGCAGCUCUGGGGUGCAAAAUCCAUCUGGUCCCAGCGCUAUGGAUUAGGGGUCGGGGCCUACAGUGAUGAAGCGGGGUACGUCACAGCCUACCCCACCUCCAAGGCUGCCCUCAGGCAGACCCAGGGGUCACACCCUGGCUGCCCCUUUGUAAGCUGUGUGACCUUCAGCAGAUCCCCCUCUCUGGGCUCGAUCUCCCCUUCCGUAGAUGGGGUGGUAAGAACCCCAGCUGAGUCACUGAGGAAACUGAGGGGGCUUGCACGAGGAAGGACCCCCAGCAACAGCGGCUGGAGGCUCAGGAGUGCGCGGGCCUCCCCAGGACAGACCUGCCCACCACGCAGGCUGGGAGAGGCUUGCCACUCAGAGCCCCGAUCUGGGCAGCCCAGAGCACCAUGCACGGGGCCAGGGCCAUGUCGCCACAGGAGAUGGGCGCUUGGGAAGCAGAGUCAGGACCCACAUGCCUCGAGACUGUGGCUGGGGGCUGGCUGUGCCCUUGUGGGGGCUCAGGGACCCCCUGGAGCCCUCCUUCCUGGGAGCUGGUGCCCCAAGGAAAUCAGAGACUAUCCAGGACCCACACCUCGAGGUCCGUCUUGGAUGGCCACUCCACUUCAGCCAAGAAGCACGUGGUGGUCCCAGGGGGCUAGGGACAAAUCUCCACAGGCAGGGCAAAGUAGCAGCCCACCCUUGGCACCCAAGCUCAGCUCACUGGGAAGGUGGUUCCCCUUCUGUCCCCCAAACACCCUGCCCAACAUGCAGACGUGAUAGCAGCUGCUCCUGCGGGCCUCCCGGGAGGAGGGACAGCAGGGUGCAGAGGGCACGCCGCCAGCCCAACCACCUGUCAGAUCCUGCACCCUGUCUUGGGGGGCAUCCCCACAUUCUGUACCAAAUUCCAGAGGUGUGGGAGGGCUCGUCACUCUGUGUGUGGCCAACGCACCCUCGGGGAGCCCGACACAGGGUCUGAGACACAGCCGGCCCUCCCCACGUCUAGGGCCCCUACGACACAGCCUUGGGGAGCAGGAUGCCCCAGGCACUCCAGCCCCGCCUCAGUGAAAUGGGCGCGAUUUGGGCUUCUCCUCCCAGUCCCCACCCCGUAAGAUGGGGACACGUGCCAGCCAGGGUCACAGGCAACUGAUAGCCUCCUCCCCUCUCGACCAUUUCUGCUCAGGUUCCAUGGAACUUGCCAGGCUCUAGAGAUUUUACAAAAGCUGCAUGUGUGCAGAGCCUCACUUGGGCCUGGCACCCCCAAAGCUCAUAAUGCCCCCCUCUCCACUCCCUCCCCAAGGGCGGGCCAGCGCACAGUCAGGAUGGCAGCACAGCUGCCCGCACACAAAUGGUCACCUCCGGCCCUCUCUCGCCUCUCAGGGUGCCCAUCCUGGACAUGCCGUCGCCAUGGCGAUGCUAUCCCAGGAAGCCCCGGGAACAAUUUGCAGGCUGAGGGACAUGUGUGGGCAAGCAGAUGGCUUGUUUUAACCCAGCGCUCCCCAGCCAUUGAUCACAGACCACUGCCACCUGGACGCUCCCAGGGCUCCCGUGUGGGCAGAGCCGCCCCAGGCCCGCGGUCCUCCCUCAGCUCCCCCAUCCGCCCUGAGCCGAGUGCCUCAGCUGUCCUGACGCACUCACCCAUGCCCACAGUCAGCAGCCAGUAUGUCCCCCCUGUGCCAAAGGCUGCCCAGCUCCUCAGCCCUUUCCACUCUUGAGCGGUCAGGCCCCCACUUUGCCCAGGGCCACACCUGCAUGGGAAGAAACGGGCAUCACAGAAGUGCCUGACCACUGAGCACAAGACCCAGCAUGAGCCCCUCACCCAGAGUAAAGGGUAGGUCCUGGUGAGUGUGGAUAAAAUGAGAGUUCCUGCAGCCAGGAUUCUCACCUGGCCCUGGUCGGCUAGCUCACUGCUCACCUGGGGGCAAUACAUGGCUGUUGACUC